AGUAGGGAAUCUUGCGCAAUGGGCGAAAGCCUGACGCAGCCAUGCCGCGUGAAUGAUGAAGGUCUUAGGAUUGUAAAAUUCUUUCACCGGGGAAGAUAAUGACGGUACCCGGAGAAGAAGCCCCGGCUAACUUCGUGCCAGCAGCCGCGGUAAUACGAAGGGGGCUAGCGUUGCUCGGAAUUACUGGGCGUAAAGGGCGCGUAGGCGGAUACUUAAGUUAGAGGUGAAAGCCCAGGGCUCAACCCUGGAACAGCCUUUAAUACUGGGUAUCUUGAGUUCGGGAGAGGUGAGUGGAACUCCGAGUGUAGAGGUGAAAUUCGUAGAUAUUCGGAAGAACACCAGUGGCGAAGGCGACUCACUGGCCCGAUACUGACGCUGAGGCGCGAAAGCGUGGGGAGCAAA
rnacentral:rRNA from 1 species